GCAUUUUAGGUACCUGUGUGUUCUUUGAAAGCAGAUCCUAGAGCACAGUCCUUGGCCUCCAGGUCGCAUUCAUUGACUGCAGGAGUGGCAGGAGGACACCAGGACACGAAAAGACAGGAAAUGGUGAAUGCUGUUGAGCGUCCCAGGUGUGGGAGGAGGCAGCUGCAACCUGGAGGCGGUAAGGGAUACCGCUGAUACUGCUUGCCGCUGAGUCUGGUCUGUCCCCGCUGGCCCCUGCUGCUUCUGGCAUCCUGCUAGAAGGAGCUGGGCCAGCAGGCAGAGCUUCGGGCCUUUCCUUAUCUGAGCUUUGGGUGUUGCAACGUCUCUUAGCUUAGCGCGUGCUGCCCGGGUCCCCUACAGUCUGGGUCGUGAGUGGGCCGCCUUAGGAGUCGAACUGGGGCUUUUUUGCAGAGAUGAGGGAGGGGGAUCUACGUGGAUGGUAGCUGUUAAUUCACUGCCCUGCUCUUUACCUAAAACCUCGCCACACUCCCAUGUAAUGUCUCAGGAUGCAGCUACUAAGAGUAUCUGUGACUCUCAAUAUUAUAAACAAACAAAACGGGGCAGAGAAGCAUCCGGACACAAUGACAGCCGGAGACCACUUUUUUGGAAUAGCACGGCUUUAUUCCCUGGAUGAGUUGAGUGCACCUAACAGGGCUCGGGGACUUACACAGGAAGUUCAAGCUUUUUAUUGGUUCGGUUCGGUUCCAUUGGGAGCAGAGGGUUUGGGAAACUCCAUAUCCGGUCUUCUUGUUUCUGCAGGUAGAGCGGAAUUAACGGUCAUGCUGUGGUUAAGAACUCCAUAUGACUAGGCGCCUGCACAACCUGGCUCAAUUUCUCAUAAACCUCAAGUCAUGAGCUAAACCUCAGCUGCAGUUAAGGUGGGGAAAACGACUGGAUGCAGGAUAGCUUAGAGUCAUGGCUCUCUAGUCUUUUGUAAGGGGGUGGGGAGUUGGACUUUUCCAGACAGGGUUUCUCUGUGUAGUUCUUCUGGCUGUCCUGGAACCCACAUUGUGAACCAGGCUGAUCUCAGACUCAGAAGUCUCUCUGCCUCUCCAGAGCUGGGAGUAAAGGCUUGCACCACCACACCCAGCUUCAGGGCUCAAGUGUCUAUCUGUUCCUUCUCCGAUGCUUUUUCACACUGCCCGUGCUUAGCGUAGGUCUGCCUGUGGUUAUAGAUUAUGCCUUAGGUUAUAGCUGCCUGAGGCUUGAUAUUAUAAUUCACCCAGUGAAUCUCUUCUCAGCUCCCUUUCUGUCAAACCUAUAACAUCAUUCAUCUUACAGUGACCACAAGAGCCUUGAGCCCGUUAUGUCAGGCAACAGACAGACACGUUUGUGUUAUUGAAGCUGGCAUUCCCAACCUGUGCCCCAAGUCAGGCCCAGCCCCCUGUUCUCAGUAAGCCAAUAAAGAAGAGCCAAAUAUUGGUGAAAAGCA
rnacentral:lncRNA from 1 species